GUUACACGUUUCCUGUAGUGUAGCUGAAACCUACUUCAUGAGUCCUCUCUCUGCUUCUCUUCCUAUCCUCUGAGGCUAUGUUGCACUGAUCGUUUUCAUGGAGCAUACACACCCUCAUUCUGUAGCCAGGGUAGCGUUAGGGUUCUGCAAUCGAUGCUCAAUCUCCAACUGGAUCCAGCUGGCGUGAUUUGAUGCAUGCCCAAAUUUAUCGGUUUAUCCUUAUAAAUUGAUCACUUUCUGAUCUCAUACGCUGCUCACCUGCUUGUGGUACUUCUUCGUGAAGGGCUCCCUCUUUCUGGUCUAAAGCAAGUGUUGUUUCUGCUUUCUGCUUUCUGGUCUAAAGCAAGAGAGGUCAUUGCAUGUUAAUUCUUCACCAAGAACAGAAUCUGAAUUGAUGAAGGAAAUGUUUGCCACACUACUUUUAGGAGAAGACAUGUGAGGUGCAUGAGAUGAGAUGAUUCACAUUGAUACUGAUGUACAAGUCCCCUUUGUGCUACACUUUUCCCUCUUCACAUAUGGUACCUGCAAGCUCUCAAAACCAGCUGGUCACGUUGCUUUACAGGUUGUGUGCCUACGCCCUACCUCUCCCCUCAAUCUUCUUUACAGAUGUGUUGAUUUGAUGCACACCCAGCUGCUUUGUUAAGCUACUCCUCACGAUGGCAGGUAUGCGUUUGUGUUCCAUAUAUGAUAAGAAGGUUGUGAUUGGGGAGGGGCUUAAGAUUUAUGAGUAAUGGGUGAGAAAGCUGUUGAUCUGUCAGGUCUUUUGUUUGAAGCGGAACAAUGGACUUCUUUACUAGAGACAUAAAUGAGGACUCUAUCCUUAGAUGUCCAUUCUUAAGGAACAUCAAUGAGCCUACUAGCUUCUUAUUCUCUUCACCGUUGGCUUUCUCAAUACCUGUGCGUGGAGGUGGAGCUAAAGGUCCAAUUUUUGAAGAUAUAUGGUCUGAAUUUUGAUUUGGCAUUUAGGCUUUUCCAUUGGAGUGAUUUAAGAUAAAUGGGUUGGGUUGGUCUGAUGAGGGUGUUAUUUGGGUAAUAUGUAUUUGUAGCAGGGGGUUUGGUUUUUUGUAAGGGGUAAGUGUUCUAUCUGUUGCUCUUUUCUAUUUUUUCUUUUGUUUUUCUCUCUAUUGUAAUGGGUUGGGGCACCCCUUGUGCUUCCCAUUAAUAGACAUUUGACUUAUCUAAAAAAAUGUAUAAUUUCCACAUAUUGAUUGUUGAAUUGUUUAUUGUAUAGUGCUUAGUUUGCUUCAUUUGGCUAC